rnacentral:lncRNA from 1 species
GAAGAUUGACAGCAGCAGAAGAGUAGAUCCUGGGCAAGUGUAGGCUCUGGGAGCAGCGGGGUGAGUGCUGGAAGGAGCUGGCUGGAGGCAGAGCAGGGAGGUGCUCAGACAGGUCAGGAUGGCCUCAGGGAACGCGGCUCAGUGAGAAAGGGUUCACAUUUCCUGGAGAGCCCUUGUCUCUGCCCAUGGAAAACCCAGACUCCUUCCAACUGGGAUGUGCAUCUCAUGUAAAAGUUACUACUCCCAGAAAGGAAGCCAGUGGAUAUAGAAUUUUUUUUUGUAUGCAGAAAUUACUUUAAAUUUGUUUUUAAUCUUAUCCUUUUCUUCCCCCAUCUUAGUGUCUAGUGACUUCCUGCAGGUAACGCACACAUCUUAGGAGAGCGCUGUAUUUCAGUUGCUGUUGGCUCUGAUGUGACUUUGUGGUGUCAGAGGUUCUGCCCAGAGCGUGGCGCUCUCUGCUGAGCGUUGCUUGUUGAAGGCCCGUGUGGAAACUUUGCCUGUAAGCUCGUCGACCCCAGCAGUCUUGGUUCAGAAACCUUUGGACUUGCUGAGACUUCACAGGGCCUGCUAAACUUUCUUGCGUGACCUUUUCGUUUUAGUGUUCCCCAUUAAUUCAGAUGUUUUCCAGAAGAUCUAUACAACCUGGCGUUUGGCCGUGGCUUCCAGGACAGGCUGGAUGCAGAGUGAAGUCCUCUCCUCACUGUCAAUGUUUGCAGAUGUCUUCUUGUAUAAACUUCGUAUUUCUUGAGACUUUCAAUUAGGUUUUUACUUAACUGGACUUUUAAAAUUGCCAUGCACAUAACUCUACCAGUUACAAUCUUGAGCUAACAUGGGUUUUGGUUUUGGUUUUGGUUUUACUUUGAUGAAUGUUUAACAUUUGCAUGCUGGAUGUGGGGGUGGAGGUCAUUUAUCUGCUUUUCAUUGCCUUCUUGGUUAUACUUAGUGACUUUCAGGUAAGGUGUGGAAGGCGUGGUACAGGGUGAAUUGCAGGCCGCACUGUGGCGCCGUGGAGGACAGGUGCGGGCUGCAGUGGUGUGCACAGUGGAUGAGAGACAAGAGGAGACUUCCAUCCUUGAGGGAAACACACAACAAUUUAAAAAACUGAUCGUCUAGCUUACAUGAGGUCCAACAAAUUCAGUUUGCAAAGUUUAACUUCCAAGUUAAUUUAGUAAUUUUUCCCCUAAGUCAUUAAUUUAGUAGCUUAUGUUUAAAUAUAUUUCUUUUGUCUAAAGGAGGCCAUAAAUUCUAAAAUGAAUGACUAAACAUGUAAUAAUUUAGGCAUACAGCACCUGAAGGGAAAACUGCCAGUAUGCUAAAAUAUUGGAUACAGAUGCUUUUAAAAAAUAUAAUGUAGCAUUCUUACAAUGCAUGUGCUCUUAGCGUGUAACUUGGUGGGUAGUUUUGAACUAUAUUUGUGGGAAUGUGUAUCUUGAAUACUUGAGGCUACCACUGCAGAUGUGUGUGUGAGAUGUAUAAAUACUGAAUGUUAUUCUCCCUUCCCUUAAAUGGAAAACAUUAGCUCCCUUUUAUUUCCAUUUUAUUUUUAUUUUUGAAGUGGACUCUUGCUCGUUGCCCAGGCUGGAGUGCAAUGGCACAAUCUCGGCCCACUGCAAUUUCUGCUUCCCGGGUUGAAGUGAUUCUCCUCUCUCAGCCUCCUGAGUAGCUGGGACUACAGGCACCCGCCACCACGCCCAGCUAAUUUUUGUAUUUUUAUUAGAGAUGGAGUUUUGCCAUAUUGGCCAGGCUGGUCUUAAACUCCUGACUUCAGGUGAUCUGCCCACCCCGACCUCCCAAAGUGCUGGGAUUACAGGCGUGAGCCACCGUGCCCAGCCAGCUCCCUUGUGUAAUGAUUUUUA